rnacentral:tRNA from 1 species
GCAGUCGUGGCCGAGUGGUUAAGGCGAUGGACCAGAAAUCCAUUGGGGUCUCCCCGCACAGGUUCGAAUCCU